rnacentral:lncRNA from 1 species
CUCAAGGCGGGCGGUCUUAGCCAGGCGACCUUCCUCCGCCCGGGCUGUCUCCCUCUUGGCGAUCUUCAUCACCUCGAUGUUGGCGAUGAGGUGGUGUCCAAUCUACAAGAGAGGCCGGGGAGUCAAUAUAAAGGCUAAGGAGUAAAUUAAGUAAAGAAGCAAGAAGGAGAAAAAAGUAAAUUGACCUACUUUAAGAAAAGAUCCCAGAGAGUCCCAGACCCGCAGCUCAGGAUCAGC